rnacentral:lncRNA from 1 species
UGACAGAGUCUCAACAUGACUCAUGAAUGGUCAGAAGAAAGGAACACCUCUAGGAAUGCAUGUACACUGACACUGUACUUUCUGUCUUAAAGGAAAUUGCUGCCAUAACACAUGUACCUUCUUCAAUCAACAGAAACAAGCUGGCAUCUCAUACUGAAUCUGAAUUGUCUUGUUGCUGGCUGACAGUCUGGAGCAAAACACAAACCUGGAACCAGCUCUGAAUCCAAGUGGAAUACUAUUCUGUGUCAG